AUGGUUUCAGGUGGCUUCAAGCUGAUUGCAGAGCUCUGCCUGCAAACCUGCAGCAUCUUAAGCACCAGUAAUUCAGAUUUGAGCAAAAUACCUGUAGUGGACGCUGAAGUUUGCCUGUCCCCACAUAAAGCAUCCCUUGCUCUUUCUGUUGGGUUUAUCAUUUUUGGCAAGAAGCAACCAGCAUCUGGGACCCAAGAGGCUGGCCAAGGCAAGUGUGGAUCAUUGGAGGGGAUGGAGCAGUAUGAGAUAAUCUCAGCUGUUUGUUCGCAUUGGAAAACUGCUGGAGAAAUAACAUCACCAUUCCACUGCCAGUGGCCUGGUGUGACCUGCUUAGCUGCAAAUGCUCAUCUUUGGCUCGCACUUUCAGCUUCUCUCCAUCACACAUUCAUAAAGUUUCAGCAGAAGAAGAUUCAGACUAUUUUCUGAUGGAUUUUACCAUUAUCCUCAUACUGAGUUCACUGGGAAAAAGAAGUCCUUCAAGAAAGAUUGAGGUGAAUAAUCCAUAACUUUCCUUGGCAAGUUGUUCCAAAGACUAAUUGCCCUUCCAGUUAAAAUUUUAUUACUGAUUUCUAAUUUGCAUAUGUCUGCCUUUAUCUGCAGUUCUGCCUUAGUUCUGACUUUUUUUUCUUUUUUUUUUUUAUAGUAGUUGGUAGAAACUCAAACAUAUUUUUCCAGUCUACUUUUUGAUUAGCUAAACCGCUUGAGCCCAUUACAGUUGUCAGUGUAAGGAAUAUAUCUCUGACUUUGGCAAUUUUUUAUUCCUUCCAAUAUCUUCUCUAAUUUUUCAGCAUCCAUUCUGAAAUGUGAAGAGUUGAUCUGUACGGGUAUUCAAGUUCCAGUCUGAUCAGGAAGGCUACAAACAGAGAAAAACCCAAGACCCAUGACUCUCCUGUUGACAUAUGUAUGACCCCAUUGGUAUGUCGAAUAAUCAUAAUGAAAGCCUACACUUGUCUCUUUUCUUGCUUUUCAGCAGUCUUGCUGUUUUUCUGCAACCAUUGUCUACAUUUCUUCUUCCUGACAUAUGACUUUCCCUU
rnacentral:lncRNA from 1 species